GUGGUUGUGGCUCAGCAGUAGAGCAUUCGCCUAGCAUGUGCAAGGCCCUGGGUUCGAUCCUCAGCACCACA
rnacentral:tRNA from 1 species